rnacentral:rRNA from 1 species
GAUGAACGCUGGCGGCGUGCCUAACACAUGCAAGUCGAGCGGAAAUAAACUGAAGUAUUCGUACGGAAGAUUAUUUUAGCGGCGGACGGGUGAGUAACACGUGAGCAACCUGCCUUCAGCUGGGGAAUAACAUUGGGAAACCAGUGCUAAUACCGCAUGACAUCACGAGAGGACAUCCUCUUGUGAUCAAAGGAUUUCGAUCCGGCCGAAGAUGGGCUCGCGUCCGAUUAGUUAGUUGGUGAGGUAACGGCUCACCAAGACCGCGAUCGGUAGCCGAACUGAGAGGUUGAUCGGCCACAUUGGGACUGAGACACGGCCCAGACUCCUACGGGAGGCAG